AUUGAACGCUGGCGGCAGGCCUAACACAUGCAAGUCGAACGGUAACAGGAAGCAGCUUGCUGCUUUGCUGACGAGUGGCGGACGGGUGAGUAAUGUCUGGGAAACUGCCUGAUGGAGGGGGAUAACUACUGGAAACGGUAGCUAAUACCGCAUAACGUCGCAAGACCAAAGAGGGGGACCUUCGGGCCUCUUGCCAUCGGAUGUGCCCAGAUGGGAUUAGCUAGUAGGUGGGGUAACGGCUCACCUAGGCGACGAUCCCUAGCUGGUCUGAGAGGAUGACCAGCCACACUGGAACUGAGACACGGUCCAGACUCCUACGGGAGGCAGAAGUGGGGAAUAUUGCACAAUGGGCGCAAGCCUGAUGCAGCCAUGCCGCGUGUAUGAAGAAGGCCUUCGGGUUGUAAAGUACUUUCAGCGGGGAGGAAGGGAGUAAAGUUAAUACCUUUGCUCAUUGACGUUACCCGCAGAAGAAGCACCGGCUAACUCCGUG
rnacentral:rRNA from 1 species